rfam:TPA: Bos taurus chromosome 7, whole genome shotgun sequence.
UCCCUGACAGUCCAGUGGUUAAGACUCUGUACUGUCACUACUGAGGGCCCAGGUUCAAUCCCUGGUCAGGGAA